CAGUAGCCGCGGGAAAACAGAGGGUGCAAGCGUUAAUCGGAAUUACUGGGCGUAAAGCGCGCGUAGGUGGUUUGUUAAGUUGGAUGUGAAAUCCCCGGGCUCAACCUGGGAACUGCAUUCAAAACUGACUGACUAGAGUAUGGUAGAGGGUGGUGGAAUUUCCUGUGUAGCGGUGAAAUGCGUAGAUAUAGGAAGGAACACCAGUGGCGAAGGCGACCACCUGGACUAAUACUGACACUGAGGUGCGAAAGCGUGGGGAGCAAACAGGAUUAGAUACCCCCGUAGUCCCUGUCUCUUAUAC
rnacentral:rRNA from 1 species